rnacentral:piRNA from 1 species
UCACUGAUCCACAGCACACUGGUUUGUCU